AUCAGUGCUUCAUAGAAUAUGUAAGGAUCAUUUCACUAAUUUAAAAAAAAAAAUGGUCUUUCCGAAUGAAGUUCUUUUAGUUUUAAUUUGUGUUUUCUCUUCUGAUCAUUGAAGUAUAGUGUGAGAAGUUGGGAUUUUGAUUGGGUGAUCUUAGGACAGCACUUGUUAGCUUUGUUUCCCCCUUUGCUACUGUUUUAGUCGGGUUUCAAAUUUGUAGGGUAUGCUAAUCACUAAAUUUAGGUGGUGUUGUCCCACUAAAUUUAGCCUUUAUACCUACUUUCCCAUUUAGUUUUUUAACUCAUCCCUUUUGCUGACCUCUAGUUUGGUGAGUGCAAUGUAAUGGUUGGAUUUGAGGUUUGUGAAUCUGUUUAGCUUGCAAUUAUAUAUAUCAGCUUUUGUUUGCUAAAUCAGCCUGAGAUAGUGAAGGCAUAUUAUACGAUCUGCUCGUGUAUAAAACGUCCCUCCUGUCUUCUUAUCUCACUCUCUCUUGUUCAGUUGCAGUACUUGAUGAUUGUGUACUUAUAUGAUUCCUUCAGCAACAAGGGAAUGUUUGUACAAUUUAGAUAUCCUUCUGUAUGUGGUUUAAUGCGUCAUUUUCGUGAGCAGGGAUGAUGAUCUCAAGCUCGAGUUGAAUUUUUGGCAAUUUUAUGAUGUGAAAGUGACCUGUAAAAACCCCACUAAUCACAUAGCCGGAAUUAAUGACAGUACUCAAUUAGUAGCUUGUAUUGAUUGUCAAAGCGAGGGACCCUUAAACAGUUGAUCUAACCCCACAUUAUGAUGUGAAAUUGAAUGAAAAUGCAUGUUCUCUAGUCUUGUAGCAGUGGUACGAUUCCAUAAAAGAUUUCCAGAAAAGGUCUGUCACCAUUCCAUUUCCUGUUUUUGUUUUUGGAGUGAAAGAAUAAUGUAAUUUCGAGGCUGGCAACUUGCAGUAGUUUUGCAGAUAAGACUUUCUUGGGAUUUUGGCCAAGAGACAAAGCCUCGAGUGCAACAGCAAAGAUACUGCAGGUGUGAGAUCAUGUUGUCAGAUCUGGAAUUGAUCUGUGGGUGUCUGAGUGUCCAAGCUUUGUAGAGCAUCUCCAAGAGAAUCCAAUGAAGGAACUCCGUGCGGCUUCUGAUCAUUCUCUCACUUUAGAGAAUCUCGAGGAAUUUCUCCUCAAUUUUUAUAUACCGACUUUGGCACUUUUGUACUUCCUCUUGUGAAAAUAUUGAUUUGAGCACUCCUUAGUUGUUUUGACUUGUGGGACAUUGGAUACCACCAAUUAUAUCUAAUUUAGGAGUAAUGUCGGACUUCUAAAUGCAUAAGUCUUAGGUAGUUUUCUUUUCUUUUCUUUUUUAAAUGUAAGAGUUGUCUAUUUAAAAUUUAUAUAAA